AUCGCUUCUCGCCUUUUGGCUAAGAUCAAGUGUAGUAUCUGUUCUUAUCAGUUAAUAUCUGAUACGUCCCCCAUCGGGGGACUAUACAUAUUAAUGGAUUUUUCGAACAGGGAGUCGGAAGCGGGGCUUGCUCCGUCCCUCCACGCAUCGACUCGGUAUUGCAGUACCUCCGAGAACGUGCACCCUCU
rnacentral:snRNA from 1 species